UAAAUCUUCGUACGGGGAAGGACGAGAACCUUCGACUAAGGUUCGACUCGAGCAUCGCGAGAGAGCGUUGCCGCAGGCAACGACCCGAAGGGCGAGGAGCUUUAGCUCCGAGUAAUCCUUCCCCCACCACCA
rnacentral:sRNA from 1 species